rnacentral:rRNA from 1 species
CCUACGGGGUGCAGCAGUGAGGAAUAUUGGUCAAUGGGCGGAAGUCUGAACCAGCCAUGCCGCGUGCAGGAUGACGGCUCUAUGGGUUGUAAACUGCUUUUAUACGGGAAUAAUCUUCGUUACGCGUACCUUUUUGUAUGUACCUUACGAAUAAGGAUCGGCUAACUCCGUGCCAGCAGCCGCGGUAAUACGGAGGAUUCGAGCGUUAUCCGGAUUUAUUGGGUUUAAAGGGUGCGUAGGCGGGUUGAUAAGUUAGAGGUGAAAUUUCGGGGCUUAACCCCGUGCCUGCCUCUGAUACUGGUAGACUAGAGUGCGGAUGCAGCAGGCGGAAUGAGUAGUGUAGCGGUGAAAUGCUUAGAUAUCACGCAGAACACCGAUUGCGCAGGCAGCUUGCUAAGCCGCAUCUGACGUUGAUGCACGAAAGUGUGGGUAGCGAACAGGAUUAGAUACCCUGGUAGUC